rnacentral:lncRNA from 13 species
GCUGAGGUGAGAAGAUCACUUGAAGCAGGGAGGUUGAGUCUGCAGGGAGCCAUGAUUGUGCCACUGCACUCUAGCCUGGGCAAUGGAGCAAGACUUUGUUUCAAAAAAAGGUAGAAUAAAACAAAAAAGGAAAAGCAUCCUAUGACGUGUGCUGGGGACACAAAAGCUUACAGGAUCUAACCCUGUUGCUGUGGACUGAAUGCUUAUGUUCCAUCAAAACUCAUAUCUUGAAGCCUCAUGCACAAUGUGAUAGUUGAAGGUCAGUAGAUCACGAGGGUGGAACCCCCAUUAAUGGGAUUUAUGUCCUUAUAAAAAGAGGAAGAAACAUGGGAGUUUUCUCUUUGCUGUCUGCCCUGUGAGGAUACAAAAUGAAGACAGAUUUCUGCAAACAAAGAAGUGGGCUUUUACCAUACAGGAAAUCUGAUAGUGCCUUGAUCUUGGACUCUCCAGCUUCCAGAGUUGUGAGAGAUAAAUAUUUGCUGUUUAAGCCACCCAGACUUAAGUAACAGUCAUUUAUUACGGCAACCUGAACUAAGAUACCUGGCCUCAAAGAGGCUCCAAAACUGAAAGACAAAGGCAAGAGUAACAGCAAUUAGGACUGCCCCAACAAACAGCAGUUCCACAGCUUCAGAGGAAGAAAAAGAGCACUUCUGGCCAGCGUGAUCAAGCACCUGAAGUGAGAUAUAUAAGGUGGGAUGCCUCAUGGCAGGAUGUGGCCACAUCAGCCGUCAGGGAGCCUCUCUCAGCCUGACACUGUAUAUAGCACAGAGCUGUGAACAGAAGGCCUGUGUUGUCUCUGCACUGAACUGCCAGACGCGCCCCCUCUUAUCGGUGCAGAGGCUGGGAGGCUGGCAGUCUGGAUUUCAGGAAAAGGAGACAAUGAUGAAAGUUAUGUUGUGCCCGCAUCCAAGCCUUAUCUGCUGCUGUUUCCAUCAUUUCUGAAAAUCCACUCUUAGCAGCAAAACUUUUGUGAGGCCAGGGAGGGUCCCUUAUUAAGGCCUGAUUAGCAUGGCCUGGUGUCUCCGGUUAGCCAGCCUCUACCAAGGCUCCGAGGAAAGGCGCAUUUCAUGUUACUUCCAGUCCAGCCCCUCUCUCUCUGCCUUGGUUGAGUUUCAUGUCUUCCUCAUCUUCAGCAGAGAUGAUUAAAAUAACCACCUCACAACUCCUAUGGGUUGCCAUCUGUGAUGGUUAAUACUGUCAACUGGAUUGGGUUGAAGGAUAUAGAGUAUUGAUCUUGGGUGUAUCUGUGAGGGUGCUGCCAAAGGAGAUUCACAUUUGAGCCAGUGGACUGGGGAAGGGCAGACUCACCCUUAGUCUGGUGGGUACAAUCUAAUCAGCUGCCAAUGCGGCUAGAAUAUAAGCAGGCAGAAAAGUGUGAAAAGAGAGACUGGCCUAGCCUCCCAGCCUUCUUCUUUCUCCCAUGCUGGAUGCUUCCUGCCCUCAAACGUCGAACUUCCAGUUCUUCUGUUUUGGAAAUUAGACUGGCUCUUCUUGCUCCUAGGCCUGCAGACAGCCUAUUGUAGGCCCUUGUGAUCAUGUGAGUUAAUACUUAAUAAAUUCCCCUUUAUGUACA